GAUGAACGCUGGCGGCGUGCAUAACACAUUCAAGUCGAACGGACAGUAGAAAUACUGUUAGUGGCGGACGGGUGAGUAACGCGUGAGCAAUCUGCCUCUGUGUGUGGGAUAACAGGGAGAAAUCGCUGCUAAUACCGCAUAAUGUUGCACCUUCGCAUGAAGGAGCAGCCAAAGAUUUAUUGCACAGAGAUGAGCUUGCGUCCGAUUAGGCAGUUGGCGGGGUAACGGCCCACCAAACCGACGAUCGGUAGCCGAACUGAGAGGUUGAACGGCCACAUUGGACUGAGAUACGGUCCAG
rnacentral:rRNA from 1 species